AACGAACGCUGGCGGCAGGCUUAACACAUGCAAGUCGAACGGUUGUAGCAAUACAGCAGUGGCAGACGGGUGAGUAACACGUGGGAACCUUCCUAGGGGUACGGAACAACUCAGGGAAACUUGAGCUAAUACCGUAUACGUCCGUGAGGAGAAAGAUUUAUCGCCCUUAGACGGGCCCGCGUCGGAUUAGCUAGUUGGUGGGGUAACGGCCUACCAAGGCGACGAUCCGUAGCUGAUCUUAGAGGAUGAUCAGCCACACUGGGACUGAGACACGGCCCAGACUCCUACGGGAGGCAGCAGUGGGGAAUCUUGGACAAUGGGCGCAAGCCUGAUCCAGCCAUGCCGCGUGAGUGAAGAAGGUCUUCGGAUUGUAAAGCUCUUUUACCAGGGACGAUAAUGACGGUACCUGGAGAAUAAGCCCCGGCAAACUUCGUGCCAGCAGCCGCAGUAAAAC
rnacentral:rRNA from 1 species